rnacentral:rRNA from 1 species
AAAUUUAAAUAAUAAACUAGGAUUAGAUACCCUAUUAUUUUAAAUGUUAAUUGUAUUUACCAGGGUACUAUUAGUUAAGGUCUUUAAACCCAAAGAAUUUGGCGGUAUCUCAUUCCAUUCAGAGGAACCUACCCCGUGAUUGAUAAUACACGAUUUACUCUACUUGAUUUAUUUGUUUGUAUAUCUCCGUUAUCAGAGAAUCUUUUUAGAGUUAUAAUUCUCAAGAUUUAUAAUUAUAAAAUAUUUCAGGUCAAGGUGCAGCUUAUAGUUAAGAGGAGGUGGGUUACAAUAGAUUUUUGUUUAUAAUGGAUUUGAUGGUGAAACACUGUUAAUGAAGGUGGAUUUGAAAGUAAUUUAAUUUAUUUAAUUUAAUUGAUAUUGGCUCUGAGGUGUGUACACAUCGCCCGUCGCUCUCAUUAUUGAUUAUUCUAUUUUAUUAUUUUAAGGUAGCUUCAAUUAUAGAUGAGAUAAGUCGUAACAUAGUAGAUGUACUGGAAAGUGUAUCUAGUAAGAGUUU